AAGCAGCUCAUGCUUUAAUAAAAAGCUAGAGCGUACCUUUUGCAUAAUGGGUCACCAAGUUAACAUUAGAUGCGAGCGAUAAAUAUUUGUGUAUUUAUAUAUACAAUAUAUUAUAGUAUUGUAUGUUUACUUAAUGUAAAACAUAAUACAUGGUAAAUUUAAAUAUAAAUAUAUAUAAUAUAUAUAUACGUAGUUAAACCGAUCAUUAAAAUAAUAAAUAGUGUCUAAAGUUAGACCCGAAGCCUGGUAAUCUUACUAUAGUUAGGACUAUAAAGGUCCGAACAGGUUAUCGUUACAAAGAUAUCCGAAGAACUAUAGUAAGUGAGUAAAAGACAAUUCUGACCAGGAUAGCUGGUUUUCUGCGAAACCUAUAAUAGUAGGUAGUUCAAGUAACAUCUUAGUAGGUACAGAACUUAAUCUCAUACAAGAUGUAUACUCUCAUAGAUAUUUUCUAUGAAAUACAUUUUUUUUGUAAACAUCGGGGGAUCGUAAAGAUUUUAUCGGUGAGUAUAUAGACUCGGAAUGACAAAGAUAGAUCUUGAACUAUCGGAUAUAGAAUGAUAAGGUUGUAUGUCAAAAGGGAAACAGCCCAGAACAAAGUUUAAGGUUCCAAAAUUAUUAUUGAGUGAAGUUAAGAAAGUUUUUAUAUAAGUCGACAAGAAGAUAGGCUUGGAAGCAGCUAUAAUUUAAAGAUCUCGUAACAGAGCACUUGUUAAAUCUUAAAAGCAUCGAAAAUUUAUCGGAUCUAAAUAAUAUACCGAAACUUUGUCUAUAUAUAACAUUAAUAUUAAUGUUAUUAUUGGGGUAGCAGAACAUUAAGUUAAUAUUGGACUUUUCUUUUUUAAAGAAAACUAUAAUAGAACUCAAGUGAUAAUGGUGACAUGAGUAACAAAAAAGAAGGAGUUAUACUUGUUCUAGUACUUAGGGCAAGUAUAAUUACCUCUUGCCUAAAGCUUAUGGAUAUAGAAAAGUAACGGCCUCUAAGUUUAUAAUCUAAAGAUUAUAACGAUAAGGAAAUCUUAUUACUUUUAAGGAUAACAUUUUUUUACGUGGAAAAUGUGCUAGAAAAAGUAAGUAAUUUAAAAACUGUACCUAGAAACUGACACAAGUAAGCUAGUAGAGAAUACGAAGGCAUAAAUGAGGCAACAAUUAUAAAGGAACUCGGCAAACUAACUACCGUAACUUCGGGAUAAGGAAGGCUCAUUCUUCUCGAUUAAUACGAGUAAAAAGGAAGAAGCAUGAAAUAGUGUUAUACGACUGUUUAAUUAAAACAAAGCACUUUACAAAAGAUGAUAAAUCUAAGUAUUAAGUAUGAUUUCUACCCGAUGCCGGCUGGUUAACGAAUUAAUUAAAUUAAAGUUUGAUUUUAGAGGAACCCCUGGUUAAUGGCGGCCUUAGCGUAAGGGUCCUAAGGUAGCGAAACGCCUUGGCCGUUAAAUACGGUCUUAUAUAAAUGAUGUAACGAUACAACAGCUGUCUCUAUGAUUGACUUAGUGAAAUUG
rnacentral:ncRNA from 1 species